UACCUGUGCUGGACACUGCAACAAUGCAAUUCUCUCAAACUCGCAAGCCGCCGACUCGGCUUUCCGGUGUCUUAGGUGAGACCAACCAUGGGAAGCUCUGCUUGGUUCACGCGUCUGACCUUAUGAUUGAUGUUUGGGUCCAAAAAGCUGGUGACCACGGCAUCGAUAAAUGGAUGCGGAACAGGACAUUUCGUAUGGUGGAUGCGAUUGGUCAUCUUGCUCUAAACAUUAUGGAUGAAUGCCCUUCGCUCAAGGUCGUGGCGAUUGUCGGUGGCUUUGUGUAUUUGACUAUUUGUCAGAUGGAGCCUCCUAACUGGCUCCUAUCCUUCUGCAUUGAAACAAGGGAGCUGCAGAAGCUCUGCCGGAUCACUAGAUCCGAGUUCUACUAUCCCUACAUCAUGGCGUGGCCUCCCUCUUUGCUACGCAACAAGGCGGGAUCAGCUUAGUCCAUCACCUCUCAAAAUAAAUAAAUGACAGGCAACUAAGUUUGGCAGGAGCUACCAGAUGCGACAACCGACUUAUCCAGUUAAUGUCCGACUGAGCUGCCCGAAACUAUUAAGGCCAGAAUGAGAAGCAUAUGUUCCAUUCAAUACAUGCUGCAGAAGUUCUUUCAAGCUCCGUAGCUUGGCUGGUUAGAAACCGGAAUUGCAAGUUUACUGUAGGUGCUACAGCAUGCUGGUCUUUGUUGAUCCACAAGGAGAAUCUGAGCUAUCUUCAGCUAUAACUUGUAUCUGUUUGUGAAACUUCUUUAGAACUGUCAAGCGGCAAGAAACUAUAUAAUGAUACCAUGAUGUAAUGAAACAAUGGAUGAUGAUGCUGAAGCUCUUUACUUCCGUCUAUAACCCUGGCUUAAGUG